AUGGCACUCCAAUCACUAAACCUUCUUCUAUCCCUCCUCUUCUUUCUGUUCAGCCCUCUUGCAACUCCUUUAACCUUCAACUUCCCAAGAUUUUUCAAUGUCCCCACCAACAUAUCCCUCGAGGGUGUUGCUGAUAUUGAUAGCAACCUCAUCAGACUCACCAGAAACCCCGGAGAAAAUGGGAACGUCGGUCGAGCCACCUAUCGUGAGCCCUUCCUCCUCCGGGAAAAUGCCACUGGAAAACUAGCUGAUUUUACCACAACUUUCGCAUUCAUAAUAGAUUCAGGCCACGCAGAUGGGAUGGUGUUCUUUGUUGCUCCAAACGGAUCCUUACUCAAUAGCGCAGCAGGAAGUGGUAGCAAGCUCGGCCUCCCUGUCGAAGACCUUCCUGGAGACAUCUCAAGGACUCAGUAUCCAUUUGUGGCAGUGGAGUUUGAUAUCUUCAAGAAUACAGUGCCAACCAUCAACGAUACUGACGGCGAUCAUGUUGGCAUUGACGUCAACUCUCUCAAGUCUAAUAUUACCAUGCCUUGGAAUGGUGGUAUUGAGGAAGGAAAACAAAACAGUGCUCGGAUUAGUUAUAACUCUAGCUCAAAAAAUCUCAGUGUUGCCUUCACAAGUUUCCAAAAUGGUACAAAUGGUACCCAAGUUGAGGUAAUCAAUUAUCUUUAUUACAUGGUUGAUCUGAAACAAUACUUGCCGGAUUGGGUCAUCGUUGGGUUCUCUGCUGCAACAGGCAAUGAGGUUGCUGUGCAUAAGAUUGUCUCAUGGAAUUUUACUUCAACUGCUCUGGUUGAUGAACCCAAGUCAGGAAAUGCAAAUGCCAAUAUAGGACUCCCAGUUGGUUUGGGUGUUGGUGGGUGCCUAAUCUUGGUUGCUGGGUUGGGUUUGGUUUGGUUCAUUUUUUGGAAGAAGGGGAAAGCAGCAGGGGAACAUGAUGAGAAUCCUUUCGCUAAUAGCUUUAUUCAUGAGGAACUUGAAAAGGGCAUCGGCCCAAGGAAGUUUUCCUACCGCGAGUUGGCUCGAGCAACAAAAAAUUUUGAAGAGGGAGAGAAGCUUGGAGAGGGAGGAUUUGGAGGCGUGUAUAAAGGCUUCAUAAAAGACUUAAACUCACAUGUUGCUGUUAAGAGGAUAUCCAGUGGAUCUAAACAAGGAUUGAAAGAGUAUGCAUCAGAAGUGACUAUCAUUAGUAGACUAAGGCAUCGGAAUUUGGUGCAACUCAUUGGUUGGUGCCAUGAAAAAAAAGAACUCAUGCUUGUCUAUGAGUUCAUGCCCAAUGGCAGUUUAGAUUCUCAUCUUUUCAAAGAAAAAGGCUUGUUAACUUGGCAGAUAAGAUACAGUAUUGCUCAAGGUUUGGCAUCUGGGUUAUUUUAUCUACAUGAAGAAUGGGAACAGUGUGUGCUCCACAGGGAUAUCAAGUCCAGUAACAUUAUGUUGGAUUCAAAUUUCAAUGUGAAACUUGGGGAUUUUGGGUUAGCUCGACUUGUGGACCAUGGAAAACAGUCACAAACAACAAAUGUGGCUGGAACCAGGGGUUAUAUGGCUCUGGAAUACGUUACCACAGGAAAGGCUAGCAUGGAAUCCGAUAUCUACAGCUUUGGAGUUGUUGCUUUGGAAAUUGCUUGCGGGAGGAAACCCAUCGAUCUCAGUUUAGAAAGUAGCCAAAUCGAAAUGGUGGAGUGGGUGUGGGAGCUUUAUGGAGAAGGCACACUUAUUCAAGCAGCCGAUCCAAAACUUUGUGGACAUUUUGAUGAGAAACAAAUGGAGUGCUUGAUGAUUGUUGGGUUGUGGUGUGCUCAUCCGGAUUAUAAAUUCAGACCUUCAAUACAACAAGCGAUCCAAGUGCUUAACUUUGAAGUUCCAUUGCCCAUUCUCCCAUCCAAGAUGCCGGUGGCCACCUAUUUUGCUCCUCCAACAUCACUCUCAACGGUGACCACUGACACUACUAGUUCUGAAAGAGGUCAAAUUGAGUCUCACGACGAGGUUAUAACACCGAUUCCUCACAAUUCACCACAUCUUCUCCAACAAAAUUCGUGUCCAUCAACAACAUUUCAGUCUCCACGAUAAGUCUAAGUUAA